AUUUUAUUCAUUUAUUUUUAAUUAAUUUUACAGAUGUUCAUCUCCGUAUUUUAUUUACUCAACUCAAAAUCAUCCCAGAAAAAACCGCACGGUCGAUAAUAAUUAGCAAAAAUCAUCAGCUUACUCAAGAGGCCGUCUCCCAGUGCUGGACUUUACUUCAUUGGACUGGAUUAUGAAUUCUGAUAUGGAUUACGUGCCGUCGCCAGGAAGAUGAAACGUCACGUCAACAUGACCGCAAGCAAAUAAAUAUAGGAGAUACAGAUACAGACACAUACAUAUAUAUAUAAGAAGCCUAGUCAGGAAGUUGACGGCCGAAAAAAAUGUCAAUCAACAGGAUCGUUCAUAGUUCCGCCGUUUUUCCUUUUCCUUAAAAUAAUUUUUAAUUUAUAGUUCAAUAAUAACUCUUAAUAUGUAUGCAAAAAAAUCGGUUGUGAUAUGUUUUUAUUCUCCUAUAAGAAAAGAGGAAAAAAAGUACCUUUUUUGACGCUACUAGAGGUAUCAGCCCCUUAAGCGAAUGGAAGUAAUGAGUGAAAAAUGAGAAAUAUAAAUAAAUAUAAUUCAAAAAAUGUAUACUAAAAAAUUAUCUAUAAGGAAUAAAUUGGAAAAAAUCCCCAUUAAUGUGGUAUAUUUAUUUAUUUGAUAUGAUUUUUUUUCAGUUUUGGAAUCGGUAAGGUAUAAAAAAACAUGGUGGUACAAAUCUCACGUUUUUAAGUAAAAAAAAAAAAAUUUAGUGUCACAUUUCUUUAACUUUGGGUAAAAUCUGAAAUUUC